rnacentral:rRNA from 1 species
UACGUAGGGUGCAAGCGUUGUCCGGAAUUAUUGGGCGUAAAAGAGCUCGUAGGCGGUUUGUUGCGUCGGCUGUGAAAUCCCGAGGCUCAACCUCGGGUCUGCAGUCGAUACGAGCAAACUAGAGUGUUGCAGGGGAGACUGGAAUUCCUGGUGUAGCGGUGAAAUGCGCAGAUAUCAGGAGGAACACCGGUGGCGAAGGCGGGUCUCUGGGCAACAACUGACGCUGGAGGAGCGAAAGCGUGGGGAGCGAACAGG